UAUCUACUCCCUCCGUUCGGAAUUACUUGUCUCGGAAAUGGAUGUAUCUAGAACUAAAAUACGUCUAGAUACAUCCAUUUCUGCGAUAUGUAAUUCCGAACGGAGGGAGUACCCA
rfam:Triticum aestivum genome assembly, contig: Triticum_aestivum_CS42_TGACv1_scaffold_251781_3DL